UUCGCUAUAGUCUAGGCGGUCAGGAUACAGGAUUCUCAUUGAGCCCACAUGGGUGCGUGAAACACUCCUGAGACCCGGGUUCGAGUCCCGGUAGCGAAA
rfam:Chlamydomonas reinhardtii strain CC-503 cw92 mt+ CHLREscaffold_35 genomic scaffold, whole genome shotgun sequence.